GAUGAACGCUGGCGGCGUGCCUAAUACAUGCAAGUCGAGCGAACAGACGAGGAGCUUUCUCCUCUGACGUUAUCAGCGGACGGGACAUUAACACGUGGAUAACCUAACUAUCAGACUGGGAUAAUUUCGGGAAACCGUAUCUAAUACCGGAUAAUAUAUUGACCCGCAUUGUUCAAUCGUUAAAGUCGGUUUUUCUGUCACUUAAAGCUGGAUCCGCGCCGCAUUAGCUAGUUGGUAAGGUAACGGCUUAGCAAGGCAACGAUGCGUAGCCGACCUGAGAGGGAGAACGGACACACUGGAACUGAGAAUCGGUCGAGACUCCGACGGGAGGAAGCAGUAGAGACUCUUCCGCGAUGGGCGAAAGCUUGACGGAGCAACGCCGCGGGAGUGAUGAAGGUCUUCGGAUCGUAGAACGCUGUUAGUAGGGAAGAAGAAAUGUGUAAGUAACUAUGCACAUCUUGACGGUACCGAAUCAGAAAGCCACGGCUAACUACGUG
rnacentral:rRNA from 1 species